ACGAACGCUGGCGGCAGGCCUAAUACAUGCAAGUCGAACGGCUCUUCGGAGUAGUGGCGGACGGGUGAGUAACGCGUGGGAAUGUGCCCUUUGGUACGGAACAACACAGGGAAACUUGUGCUAAUACCGUAUGUGCCCUUCGGGGGAAAGAUUUAUCGCCAUUGGAGCAGCCCGCGUUGGAUUAGGUAGUUGGUGAGGUAAAGGCUCACCAAGCCUACGAUCCAUAGCUGGUCUGAGAGGAUGACCAGCCACACUGGGACUGAGACACGGCCCAGACUCCUACGGGAGGCAGCAGUAGGGAAUCUUGCGCAAUGGGCGAAAGCCUGACGCAGCCAUGCCGCGUGUAUGAUGAAGGUCUUAGGAUUGUAAAAUACUUUCACCGGGGAAGAUAAUGACGGUACCCGGAGAAGAAGCCCCGGCUAACUUCGUGCCAGCAGCCGCGGUAAGAC
rnacentral:rRNA from 1 species